CCUACGGGAGGCUGCAGUGGGGAAUAUUGGACAAUGGGGGCAACCCUGAUCCAGCCAUGCCGCGUGUGUGAAGAAGGCCCUCGGGUUGUAAAGCACUUUCAGUGAGGAAGAACGCCUGGUGGUUAAUACCCAUCAGGAAAGACAUCACUCACAGAAGAAGCACCGGCUAACUCCGUGCCAGCAGCCGCGGUAAUACGGAGGGUGCGAGCGUUAAUCGGAAUUACUGGGCGUAAAGCGCGCGUAGGUGGCUUGAUAAGCCGGUUGUGAAAGCCCCGGGCUCAACCUGGGAACGGCAUCCGGAACUGUCAAGCUAGAGUGCAGGAGAGGAAGGUAGAAUUCCCGGUGUAGCGGUGAAAUGCGUAGAGAUCUGGAGGAAUACCAGUGGCGAAGGCGGCCUUCUGGACUGACACUGACACUGAGGUGCGAAAGCGUGGGUAGCAAACAGGAUUAGAUACCCGAGUAGUC
rnacentral:rRNA from 1 species